UACGAAGGGGGCUAGCGUUGUUCGGAAUUACUGGGCGUAAAGCGCGCGCAGGUGGUCUUUCAAGUCAGUGGUGAAAGCCCGGAGCUCAACUUCGGAAAUGCCAUUGAAACUGUAAGACUUGAGGAUGAGAGAGGUGAGUGGAAUUCCCAGUGUAGAGGUGAAAUUCGUAGAUAUUGGGAAGAACACCGGUGGCGAAGGCGGCUCACUGGCUCAUAUCUGACGCUCAGGCGCGACAGCGUGGGGAUCAAACAGG
rnacentral:rRNA from 1 species